rnacentral:rRNA from 1 species
ACGGAAGGCAGCAGUGAGGAAUAUUGGUCAAUGGUCGGAAGACUGAACCAGCCAAGUCGCGUGCAGGAAGACGGUCCUAUGGAUUGUAAACUGCUUUUGUACGGGAAUAAAGUGCGGGACGUGUCCCGUUUGGAAUGUACCGUAAGAAUAAGGGUCGGCUAACUCCGUGCCAGCAGCCGCGGUAAUACGGAGGACCCGAGCGUUAUCCGGAUUUAUUGGGUUUAAAGGGAGCGUAGGCCGUGCUUUAAGCGUGUUGUGAAAUGUAGGCGCCCAACGUCUGCACUGCAGCGCGAACUGGAGCACUUGAGUACGCAGGAAGUAGGCGGAAUUCGUCGUGUAGCGGUGAAAUGCUUAGAUAUGACGAAGAACUCCGAUUGGGAAGCCAGCUUACUGUAGCGCCACUGACGCUGAUGCUCGAAAGCGUGGGUAUCGAACAGGAUUAGAUACCCUGGUA